UUUUGAUUCAGCUGGUUGGAAACUUUUUUUUGUAGAAUCUGCAAAGGGAUAUUUGGGAGCCUAUUGAGGUUGGAAUCACAGGGACAUUUGGGAGCCCAUUGAGGCCUAUGGUGAAAAACUGAAUAUUCUCAGAUAAAAACAAGAAAGAAGCCAUUUGUGAAACUGCUUUAUGAUGUGUGGAUUCAUCUCACAGAAUUACACUUUGAUUUUGAUUGAGCAGGCUGCAAACACUCUUUUUGUAGAAUUUGCAAAGGGACAUUCUGGAGAGUUUUUAGGCCUCUGGUGAAAAACUGAAUAUCCCAAAAUCAAAAUUAGAAAGAAGCCAUCUGUGAAACUGGUUUGUUAUGUCUGCAUUCAUCCCACAAAUUUUCCCCUUCCUUUUGACUCAGUACUUUGGAAACACUCUAUUUGUAGAAUCUGUGAAGAAACAUUUGAAAGCCCAUUGAGGCCUGUGAUGAAAAACAAAAUAUCUCCAGAUAAACACCAGAAAGAAUCUAUCUGUGAAACUACUUUGUGGUAUGUGGAUUCAUCUCACAGAGUUAAACCUGUCUUAAGUUUCAGCUGGUUGAAGAAACUCUUUUUUUUAAAAUCUGCAAAGGGAUAUUAAAAGCUCAUUGAGGUUUUGAUUGAAAAACUGAAUAUCCCCAGGAAAACUAGAAAGAUGAUAUCUUGGAAACUGCUUCAGAUUUGUGGACUCAUCCAACACAAUUAAACAUUUCUUUUGAUUCAGAAGGUUGUAAACACAUAUUUUGUAGUAUCUGUGAAGGGAUAUUUGGGAGCCCAUUGAAGCACAUGGUGAAAUACUGAACAUCCUCAGAUAAAAACUAGAAAGAAACUAUCUGUGAAACUGCUUUGUGAUGUGUAAAUUGAUGUCACAGAUGUAAACUUUUCCAUUGAUUCAGCAAGUUUUAAACACUCUUUUUUGGAAUCUACAAAUAGAUAUUUGAAAGCUCAUUAAGGCCUACAGGAAAAAACUGAACAUCCCCAGAUUAAAAC
rnacentral:lncRNA from 1 species